UGUGACCAGGCUUGGCCCGUCCCCAGCCCCCACCCCGACAUCAACACACUUACUUCUGAAUGACGAUCUUUUUCUCCUGGUCACAACCCACUGAAAUGAGCGCCGUCUGCGGAGGAGAGAGGCAGGGAUGCUGACCUGGGUCGGUGAGGGCCACUGAUGGCUCAGCCACAGCAAAAAUUCACAUGGGGACACUCAUACCCAGGAGAGACUGGACACGAACAGUUGGAAGGGACUAUGGGACAAACGAUGCCCAGCCUGCCCUGAUGCCUGACAUGGUGCCUGCCAGGUCUCUACACGACCAAGACUUUCCAGACUGUUCUUUUGUGCCUAAGUCAGGAAUUUCCAGACAUGUGAUUUCAAGGGCACGCAAGAAAAUCCCCAUGGUGGGAGAUGGAUAUUUUAUCAUGGCAAGUCAAGAAAAUAAGAAAUUAAAACACUACCAUUCAUUGGCACCAUUGUUUCAUAAAAAGGUAUCUUAAUAAACCAAUAUACUCAUAUAAGGCACAGAGACUUUUAUUUUCUCAUAUCACUAAAUGCCAUGGAUCCAAAGGCUAUUUGGCA